UCGACUCCUCCUACUGGAGUCCACUCCCGGAUGCAGUGCAUCAAGGGUCGAAUCCUCCUACUGGAUUCCACUCCCGGAUGCAGUGCAUCAAAACCCGAAGAGGUUUUUGGUUGUGUGUUUGGCUGCUUGUAGAAAAUAAUUGGUGGCACCAUCUUGUAACUUGUAACAUACUUGUAACUUGGAGUUGGAUAUUAGGAUGUAGUGCACCAAGUUUUUUUUCGCAGUGAGUACAUACAUCAAUUAGACAGUACAUAAUUAAGUUAUUGAUUUUAAGAUCAAUCAAGAGCAAAAGAUAAAGAUCUGAAAUUAUUCAAGAACAAUAAGAAAGAAAUUCAAAAGGUGAUUUUGUUCAAAUAAUGAACUUGAAGUACUCCUAAAUCAAACACAAUUAAUUAUCUUAAACAACUAGGGUCAUCUUAUAAUAAUAUAUAUAGUAAGAAUAGUUGUAAGAAUGCGGUUACCGGAGAUAUAUGCUGAUACCACCAAAAUGGACUGGAGAACAGGCUGCAAGGAUUAAUGGAGGGAUCUUCUAUUGAACUUCACUCCAGGAUGCAGUGCAUCAACUGAUUGGGGUGAUGACUUUACCUUCCUUCUUGGAGUGAACUUCAAGAUGCAGUGAAUCAAUAACCCAAGGAGGGUGAAGUGUUAAUGGUGCGGAUUAAGUGGUUGCAGUUAUUUUAUUACUUCAAGAAGACGAAAGAUUGCAGUGCACCAAGGCUUUUCGCAGUGAGUACAUGAAUUUGACAGUAAAUAAUUAAGUUAUUUAUUUUAAGAUGCCAAAUACGAUUUAAGGAAGGUUAGCUUUUUUGACAAAGAAAUCAAGAGCUAAAGUUAAAGAUCUGAAAGUAUUCAAGAACAUGAAAGAAAUUCAAAAAGUAAAUUUUAUCAAAUACUGAACUUGAAGUACAUAAAAAUCAAACACAAUCAAUAAUUUCAAACAAGAAGGGCCAUAUUAUAUUGAAAUACUUAGUAAGAAUAGUUGUAAGAAUGCGGACAUAUAUGGAAUGCUGAUACAACCUAAAUGGACUGGAGAACAGGCUGCAAGAUCAAGGAUUAAUGGCGAGAUCUUCUAUUGAACUUCACUCCAGGAUGCAGUGCAUCAACUCAUUGGGGUGAUGACUAUACCUUCCUUCUUGAAGUGAACUUCAAGAUGCACUGAACCAAUAACCCAAGAAGGGUGAACUGUUAAUGUUGCGGGUAAAGUGGUGGCAGUGAUUAUCUUAUUGAACUCCACUCCAGGAUGCAGUGCAUCAACUCAUUGGGGUGAUGACUAUACCUUCCUACUUGGAGUGAACUUCAAGAUGCAGUGAAUCAACAACCAAAAGAGGCGAUUAUUAUCGGUUCCUGUUAAGCCCCCUGUACUUCCUGAUCUCUAAGACUAGCUUAAUGUCACGACGUAAAAACGGAGAAAAGCGAAAGAAAAACAAGCAAUGUCGAGCAAUUACCAGGGAGAACAAAAAAAAAUGUCUUUUACAAUCAGCUCUCGGGACAAGUUUUUAAUUUUGGUGGUUUCUUCAGAUGACCAGAAAUUAUCACGUAUCGACGGGUCGAACCCCACCCCAAAAGCUGAAAACCUAUUGGCACUAAGUCAUAAAACCAACAAUGAACAAGGGACCAGACACGGCCCAAAAACCUUAAAUAAUUUGUAUCUUAGUUAUUGUCUUUUUUUUCUUGCUGUCAUGCUCAUUGAGCACGCUUUUUGCCCAAAUCGAGAGGAGGCUGCCAUGGCCUGCCUUCACUGUUGAAAUUUUGCGUUCCCAUAAGUACUGCCGGUUUGUUGUCAUUAAGUUUUAAAAUAUAUAAGACCUUAUUGUCAACGCUUGGUGUAGGUAUUAAGGUUUUGUUUCGGGAAGGCAAGCUCUGGGCGCGGCCAUUGGUAUUUUAAUUGCCUAAUUCCCCGGUAAAAAUCGAACUGACUUGAUCGGCAUGCAAUAUAUAUGUAUCAAUUAAAAUGAUAAUAAUUAACAUUGGUCUCUUAGUUACACAUAAAGUACGCAACGGGUUGUUCUCACGUCUUUCGCAUACAACUUUUUUGUGUACUUAAAGACGCGAAAAAAAUAUUAUUGGACUUUUAAUCUAUCAUUCUGUAGUAUUCACAAAAUAUUGCUCGUUUUUUUUUUUACUAAGUUUUAAGCAAUUUUGUACGAUAAAAAACCAUAAAACAGCAAAAAAAAAUCAUUUUGCCUUGUCUCUUGAAAGUGUUGCAUUCCAGCGUUUUGAAAUUUCUGAAGAUGUUUUUUGCACAAUCGAUUUUUACUUUUUUUUUGCACAUUUAUAUUCGGUAGAACCUGCAUAAAAAAGCAUAUAAUAAUUAUUAAAAUAAUCAAAA